rnacentral:rRNA from 1 species
UAGGGAAUCUUCCGCAAUGGGCGAAAGCCUGACGGAGCAACGCCGCGUGAGUGAUGAAGGUCUUCGGAUCGUAAAACUCUGUUAUUAGGGAAGAACAAAUGUGUAAGUAACUAUGCACGUCUUGACGGUACCUAAUCAGAAAGCCACGGCUAACUACGUGCCAGCAGCCGCGGUAAUACGUAGGUGGCAAGCGUUAUCCGGAAUUAUUGGGCGUAAAGCGCGCGUAGGCGGUUUUUUAAGUCUGAUGUGAAAGCCCACGGCUCAACCGUGGAGGGUCAUUGGAAACUGGAAAACUUGAGUGCAGAAGAGGAAAGUGGAAUUCCAUGUGUAGCGGUGAAAUGCGCAGAGAUAUGGAGGAACACCAGUGGCGAAGGCGACUUUCUGGUCUGUAACUGACGCUGAUGUGCAAAGCGUGGGGAUCAAACAGG